UAGCGUAGGGGGCGUAGCGUUGUUCCGGAUUUGAUGGCGUAAAGAGCUCGUAGGUGGUUCGGUAAGUCGGAUGUGAAAUCUCCAGGCUCAACCUGGAGGGGUCAUUCGAUACUGCCGUGACUAGAGUUCGGUAGAGGAGUGUGGAAUUCCUGGUGGAGCGGUGAAAUGCGCAGAGAUCAGGAGGAACACCCGUAGCGAAGGCGGCACUCUGGGCCGAUACUGACACUGGAGGAGCGAAAGCGUGGGGAGCGAACAGG
rnacentral:rRNA from 1 species